UACUUUUAUAUGGUUUUGUUUAUUGUAAUUGCAGUUGUUGAUGGUUAUCUCUAGUUUUAGAUGCUUAAAUCAUUAGCUUUUCAAUCUCAUCAUUCUGUCGAAAUUCAUAAUUAGGAAUCCCUAGGAGCAAUUUAUGAUAUUGUUCUUGCUUAAUUAUGAUUAAGGGAGACUAAUAAUAAUGUCGAAAUUCCUUUACUUCCUUUUAAUGCUAACAUGAUAUUAUUAUGUUUAAAGUUGAUUGUAGGUAAGCUUUCAAGAAUACUUGGUCUAUGCUGGUUUUGUAGGGCUAUGAUUAAAAAGAGAGAGGAUAGAGUGAAGUUCUCAUUUUUGAAUGGGCUUGGUAGAUGAAGAUGCAUAAUUAAAUGGUUUAUGAUAUAGUUGCCCCUUUCUUUGAUUCAGGGAAAGCUGUUGGCAGCUUUAUCAUUAACCAUUGUUGUGUAUCUUUGUUAUAACCUGUUGUUCCUUUCAAUAUGAGUUUUCUUCACAGUGAUGGUUCUUCCAUAAAUACACUUGAUAUGAGCCCUCUCAAUUGAACCCAAAUCAUGUACAGUUUGUGAUAUAAUGAACACAGUCCUUUAAAUUUAAUAAUGCUUUCCAUAUAGAUUAUUCUGCCCAUCAUUCGCCCUUAAUUCUUAUCAAAAGCUAAAUAGAAUUUAGAUGCUUCAUUUAAAGGCUGGCAGGUAUAUAAGAUCAUAGAAUUGGCAGAACUUAAGUGAUGGGUUGAACUAAAUUGUAUUUUUGCAAUAGUAAUUUUCCAUCCAGUCAUGUUUAAUGCACUAAGAGGGCUAUGACUACGAAGAUAGGAUAGAGUGAAAUUUCUCAUUUUUUCAUGGCUCGGUAGAUGAAGAUGCAAAAUUCAAUUUUGCCUAGAUAAAAUUUAUUGGUGAUACAUAAUUUGCCUAGAUAGGAUAGGAGAAACUACAUUAUGAAACAAAUUGGUGAUACAUAAUUUGAACCAAAAAAAUAUCGUUUUCUGAGUCUCCUUAGUUCAUUCAUACAUAAUUUAAACCAAAAAUAACUUGAAACUAUUUUCUUUUCCUUAUUGAGUCUUCUUAGUUCAUUCAUUAUUUUUUGAGACUCUUUUAGAGUAAGGUUAAGAAUAUCCUGCAAUUUAUUAUAUCUAUCACAGUUAUAAGGUCUUACCUGGCAUGUUUCACUUCGUUCCAUGAAAUAAUUUUCAUCAUCAUCUUUGCAUUUGUCAUCUAAAUCAUGUUCAUUGGUCCAAUAGUCCGAGAGUUUGUUCAUGUCGUUUUUUAGGAUUGUCAUGAAGCAUAGAUUUGCUAUCUCCUUGUGUUCCGAAUUGUCUUUGUCACUCUGGCUUCCAAAAGAUUUGUUUUUAUUAAAUUCUCUAGAAACCCUUUCUUUUAAGAUUUGGGCAUUCAGCUUGAACAUGCCUAUAUCUUCUACACUUAUAAUACAUUCCAUCAUUCUUGUCUUAUUCAUUAUAUUGCCUGAUUUGCUUGGGUGGCAUCUUGCCAUGUUUUUGUAUCUUCUCAUUAAACCAUCCAUGUUAUGGCAAUCUCUUCUUCAAGAGCUUCAGGGUCGUCAUCAGUAUCAUUUUCUAUCCUUUUAAUUGUAGCUUUGAAAGUGAUUGUUUUCUUCUUUCCUUACUGGCUUGUUUUCUUAAGGUGAGUUUUCUCGAAUGCUAUAAGAUCUCCUUGAAGCUCAUCAUAUGAAAGUUUAUUUAGAUCUUGUGAUUCAAAUGCAACUAUUUUUGUCUACCAAGUGGUAGGUAGACUUUUCAGAAUUUUUCGAACUUGAUCAUCACUUGAGUAUGGUUUAUCAAAAGCUUUUAGAUUGCUAAUGAUUUUGCUGAACAUUGCAAACAUUUCUUCAAUGGAUUCUCCUUCUUUCAUCUAGAAGAGUUCAUAGUCAUGAAGUUGAUCUGAGUUUCUUGCACUUUGCUAGUUCCUUCAUAAGUAACUUUCAGUUUAUCCCAUAUUUCUUUUGCUGUAUCACAACUUGAGUUUAUCUCAUUCAUCAUCUCCACUUAUAGCAUUAUAGAGUAAGUUUCGUACUUUAGAAUUAACUUGACAACUAUCAUUUGCUCGUCUGUGUGCUCAUUUAUAUCUUUUGGAUCACCAGGAAAUAAAGACACUAUAAUUUUAUACUGAUUCGGAUUCAAUGUGAAUCAUACUCCAGUCCCCUUGGGUUGCAAGAGUGUUCUCUUUCAGUGAUCGACGUAUUCAAUGUGAAUCCUACUCCAGCCCCCUUGGGUUGCAAGUGUGUUCUCUUUCAGUGAUCGACGUUUCUUGAGUAUAGAAUGAUUGAUGUAGCUUUACACCAACAACUUAAUCUCUAUGUCUCUUUUCUCUUCUUGAUACAAGAUCGGUGUUUAUCUCUUUUUUUUCUCUCACUAAUUACACAACAGAUCUAUAAGAAUUACAAUGCUUGUUUGGAGUAGAACAAAAGGAGUGAAAAUGUUUGUUCAAAGUAUGUUCUCUUCAAGUCCAAAACAUAUGUACAUAUACAUUUCAUGACGCCUUUUUGACUCUUGAAUGACAGAGAGAUUGCAAACCCAAGGGAGUUGAUCCUUGAAAGGAAUCAUAGAUGGAUUUUUUCUAAGAAUAAAGUCAAGUUUCCAUUGAUCUUCCUUGGUUUAUGGUCUUGACUAACGUUCCAUCCGCUAGACAUAUCUUUUUGUUACUUGAGGCAUAUCCGUUGGAACCCUUGGUUUCUGGCUUCAUCGAUUUUCAGUGCAUCCUUUUGCGAUCUCGUUUCCUUUUGAUUUGGGACCUUCCAGUAAUAGCUUCCAUCAAUCACUGAUUGAUUCUUCUUUCGGAUUUACGCCGCUUCUUCCUUUUUCAUCACUAUUCAUUGCCUCUUUUCCUUGCGUUGAUUCUAGAGCCCCCAUUAACAGAUUAUUUCCUUAAUCUAUACCUGACUGGUAUUGCUUCUUGAAUCUUUUAAUUGAUUCCUUGUGAUCCUGCGCCAAAUGUGAUAUAUUAUUUUUCAUCAUUGAAAUUUAUAAUUAACAAAUUUUUCGUAUUUCCAAUCUCUUUAUAUUUCAGAAACCCUACAUAUUUUCCGUCUUUCUCUUUGAUAUUCUUGCUUACCUUCUUUCUCCAAGAUUUCAUUAGUUCAAGUGUUCAACAAUACUUUUUAGCUUCCAAUAGUUUUGUACUUUUAUUACUCUAUAAAAUCUUAUCUGAGAUCAACAAUUUCUCAAAAAAGAUUAAAAAUAAAUUAGAUAUAUUAUCAAUGAAAAGGAACUAUUUCUAAAAAUCGAUUAUAAAAAAGAUUAUUACAAAUUUUGUAUCUCAAAAAGUUAGAAGAAUAGAUUUCAAACAAAAAUAAUCUUAUAACUUUCUUAUAAAAAAUUAAGCCCCAUAUUAAAUUUUGGCUUUAGGGGGUAUGUUCUUGAGCCAUCACUCAAAAGUAUAGAUGUCCUCUGUCUUUUAAAAGUAUCAAGCCAUUUUAUUGUUAACGAAACAACUGUGCUACUACUAUUUUGAACUAGCACUAUUUAGUAGGUAGCAACCUCUUCAUCCUUGAUAGCACUCUCUUCAUCCUCUGUAUUAGUGAAGAAAUCGUACUUUGCCUCCCUCGCUUUGUCUUCUGUAUGUUUCUUUUCUUUUCCACUUUUUCUUGAAGGAUUGCAAAUAGAUGUUCGUAGAACGCAUCAGAAAAUAAUAACAAUUAUAGGUAGAAUUUUUCGUGUUUAAAAUUUAUUUAAAUGUCAAAGAUCAGAUCUAAGACGUACUUGGCAAGGAGAGUCUCGUUUCAAAAUUCUUCGUUAGUACGAAAACUCUAUGCGUAUCCACACCGAGAUUGAUUCUUGCUAUCAACUUUUUGAUCAAUGAAACCUCGAACAAAUUGAAUAAAAAUAUUAUGUUGAAAUUUUUCUCAAAAAUCUAUCUCAAAGGUAGAAGAACAAGAAACACUUUUUCUGUAAUUGUAUUUUCUCUCUUGCACUCUCACUUUCCCAAAGUGAUUUUUCUUGAACCCUUUUCUCCACCACCCUUUAUAUAACAUCACCUAUAAACCUUUUUCCUAUUUGGUCGGGGUAAUAAUUUACUUAGGGUAAAAAAUUUAUACCAAAAAUAGACUUUAUGGAAUUUUCUUAUAAAAAUUCAAUACCCAUUCUCAAAGGGAUUGAAUUGCCGAAGUACAACUCACGCUACUUGGUCCAAUUGGACUUUCACGUCCUUAUGAACUUUAUAAUUCCAAUUCCAAAUUGGAGAAUAAAUUAACAUUGUAUAUAACUUUUAUAUAAAUCAAUAUUAAUUUAUAUUAUAUAUAGCACAUAUAUUUCAACCAAAAAAAAAUAAUUUAAUUUCUAUUCCAAAUAUAAAACUUCCAUUUGUUCACAAUAUUAAUUAUAUCAUCUAUGCUAGCAAAGAAUUUAAUAGUAUUUCAUUUGGACUAAUAAUUAAAGUUAUUUGAUUAAUUAAAUUCUUUAAUUUAAUUAUCAAAUGAUAAAAUAAUUAAUCAUUUAGCAAUGAUCAGAAUACUUGUUAGUGUGCGACUGUCACGACCCAAUUCUAUUAUAGGCCGUGAUGACAUCUAACGUCGCCGCUAGGCAAGCGAACAAUGAACUAACCACAUAAUUUCAUUUUUAAUAAAUUUUUCAAGUAACUAACUUCCCUUAAUUUAAAAGUUUUACGAAAUGACAGAUUUUAAAUGAAAAGACGAAAGCAACUGUGUGCAAUCAUAAUCAUAAUAAAUACAAUCCAAAAUUAUAAGUCUACUAGUGUGUGCCAGGACCCGGUGUCACAAGUGUGUGGGCAUUCUAGUAGAAUAUACAAAGGAAUACUAGUCUACUAUCUGAAAUGAAAUAGACAGAAAAAUAUAAUAAAAGAAAGACUCCAGCUGCUGCAGAACGGCUCGGAAGGUAGCUCACCAUGAAGUCUCGAAGUGGAAGUCAAGUGUGUGCGUCAGACUGAUAUCCAGAUGCACCUGCCUCAGAUCCUGCACAUUUAAGUGCAAAAGUGUAGCGUGAGUACAUAAACAACAUGUACCCAGUAAGUAUCUAGUUUAACCUCGAAGAAGUAGUAACGACGGGUCAACUGCGACACUUACUAUGGGCCAACAAUGUAAUAAUAUGAAGUUCUAAUUAAACAUGAUAGAUAUAAAUGACAAUAAAACUCAGAGUAAGAAGUAAAUAAAUAAUCCUUUCAUCGCUAGUAAGAACCGAAUCAUUUCCCUCUUUUAAACAUGUAAUUUCUCAAGCCAAUAGUAAAUACUCCCUUCGUUCCAAGAACCUGUUUGACUGU
rnacentral:lncRNA from 1 species